AUCGCUUCUUGGCCUUUUGGCUAAGAUCAAGUGUAGCAUAUAUGAUGCUAAAUUUCUUAUUUGCUUCUAAUUUUAACUUAAAGUGUGAGUUUUAUUUUAGUACAGUAUUACAUGGCAUUACUUGUCUGAAAUCUCCUU
rnacentral:snRNA from 1 species